CGGCGAGUGAAGCGGCAACAGCUCAAAUUUGAAAUCUGGCUCUCGGGCCCGAGUUGUAAUUUGUAGAGGAUACUUUUGAUGCGGUGCCUUCCGAGUUCCCUGGAACGGGACGCCAUAGAGGGUGAGAGCCCCGUCUGGUUGGAUGCCAAAUCUCUGUAAAGUUCCUUCGACGAGUCGAGUAGUUUGGGAAUGCUGCUCUAAAUGGGAGGUAUAUGUCUUCUAAAGCUAAAUACCGGCCAGAGACCGAUAGCGCACAAGUAGAGUGAUCGAAAGAUGAAAAGCACUUUGAAAAGAGAGUUAAAAAGUACGUGAAAUUGUUGAAAGGGAAGCGUUUAUGACCAGACUUGGGCUUGGUUAAUCAUCUGGGGUUCUCCCCAGUGCACUUUUCCAGUCCAGGCCAGCAUCAGUUUUCCCUGGGGGAUAAAGACUUCGGGAAUGUGGCUCUCUUCGGGGAGUGUUAUAGCCCGUUGUGUAAUACCCUGGGGGGGACUGAGGUUCGCGCAUCUGCAAGGAUGCUGGCGUAAUGGUCAUCAACGAC
rnacentral:rRNA from 1 species